GAUGAACGCUGGCGGCGUCCCUAAUACAUGCAAGUCGAGCGAACAGACGAGGAGCUUGCUCCUCUGACGUUAGCGGCGGACGGGUGAGUAACACGUGGAUAACCUACCUAUAAGACUGGGAUAACUUCGGGAAACCGGAGCUAAUACCGGAUAAUAUAUUGAACCGCAUGGUUCAAUAGUGAAAGACGGUUUUGCUGUCACUUAUAGAUGGAUCCGCGCCGCAUUAGCUAGUUGGUAAGGUAACGGCUUACCAAGGCAACGAUGCGUAGCCGACCUGAGAGGGUGAUCGGCCACACUGGAACUGAGACACGGUCCAGACUCCUACGGGAGGCAGCAGUAGGGAAUCUUCCGCAAUGGGCGAAAGCCUGACGGAGCAACGCCGCGUGAGUGAUGAAGGUCUUCGGAUCGUAAAACUCUGUUAUUAGGGAAGAACAAAUGUGUAAGUAACUAUGCACGUCUUGACGGUACCUAAUCAGAAAGCCACGGCUAACUACGUG
rnacentral:rRNA from 1 species